AAAAAAGGCAGCGCGGACGCCCAGGGAGGUUCAUGACAGAUUCUUCAAGCGAUGAAGAAUCUGUUGCACGACCAGAUAAACUGUCCAGGACGGAGCGUGCUUCUGGAAGCCCUGUCUGUAAGUUAAAAUGUAUGCAUGCAUAUAAGAAAACAGUCAUAUUUCAUAACAUGGAACCACUGACAGUCAACAUGGUGCAUAUCAUGUGAUUGUUCUGAUGUUUGUCUCUUCCUGUCUUUUUUCAGCUCAGCAGAUAACACUUUCUCCACCACCUGCAUGAAACCAGCUGGUUGCCCAGAGCAGGAUGAGUCUUUAGUGACCCUACCACGGACUGCCACUUCAUCUUGGGAC